rnacentral:rRNA from 1 species
CGUAAAGCGCAUGCAGGUGGUUUGUUAAGUCAGAUGUGAAAGACCCGGGGCGUCAACCUCCGGAAUUGCAUUUGAAACUAGGCAAACUAAGAGUACUGUAGAGGGGGGUAGGAAUUUCAGGUGUAGCGGUGAAAUGCGUAGAGAUCUGAAGGAAUACCGGUGGCGAAGGCGGCCCCCUCGGACAGAUACUGACACUCAGAUGCGAAAGCGUGGGGAGCAAACAGGAUUAGAUACCCUGGUAG